rnacentral:rRNA from 1 species
GAGUCAGAACAUGGGUGAUAAGGUCCGUGUUCGAAAGGGAAACAGCCCAGACCACCAGCUAAGGUCCCAAAAUAUAUGUUAAGUGGAAAAGGAUGUGGCGUUGCCCAGACAACUAGGAUGUUGGCUUAGAAGCAGCCAUCAUUUAAAGAGUGCGUAAUAGCUCACUAGUCGAGUGACACUGCGCCGAAAAUGUACCGGGGCUAAACAUAUUACCGAAGCUGUGGAUUGUCCUUUGGACAAUGGUAGGAGAGCGUUCUAAGGGCGUUGAAGCAUGAUCGUAAGGACAUGUGGAGCGCUUAGAAGUGAGAAUGCCGGUGUGAGUAGCGAAAGACGGGUGAGAAUCCCGUCCACCGAUUGACUAAGGUUUCCAGAGGAAGGCUCGUCCGCUCUGGGUUAGUCGGGUCCUAAGCUGAGGCCGACAGGCGUAGGCGAUGGAUAACAGGUUGAUAUUCCUGUACCACCUAUAAUCGUUUUAAUCGAUGGGGGGACGCAGUAGGAUAGGCGAAGCGUGCGAUUGGAUUGCACGUCUAAGCAGUAAGGCUGAGUAUUAGGCAAAUCCGGUACUCGUUAAGGCUGAGCUGUGAUGGGGAGAAGACAUUGAGUCUUCGAGUCGUUGAUUUCACACUGCCGAGAAAAGCCUCUAGAUAGAAAAUAGGUGCCCGUACCGCAAACCGACACAGGUAGUCAAGAUGAGAAUUCUAAGGUGAGCGAGCGAACUCUCGUUAAGGAACUCGGCAAAAUGACCCCGUAACUUCGGGAGAAGGGGUGCUCUUUAGGGUUAACGCCCAGAAGAGCCGCAGUGAAUAGGCCCAAGCGACUGUUUAUCAAAAACACAGGUCUCUGCUAAACCGUAAGGUGAUGUAUAGGGGCUGACGCCUGCCCGGUGCUGGAAGGUUAAGAGGAGUGGUUAGCUUCUGCGAAGCUACGAAUCGAAGCCCCAGUAAACGGCGGCCGUAACUAUAACGGUCCUAAGGUAGCGAAAUUCCUUGUCGGGUAAGUUCCGACCCGCACGAAAGGCGUAACGAUUUGGGCACUGUCUCAACGAGAGACUCGGUGAAAUCAUAGUACCUGUGAAGAUGCAGGUUACCCGCGACAGGACGGAAAGACCCCGUGGAGCUUUACUGUAGCCUGAUAUUGAAAUUCGGCACAGCUUGUACAGGAUAGGUAGGAGCCUUUGAAACGUGAGCGCUAGCUUACGUGGAGGCGCUGGUGGGAUACUACCCUAGCUGUGUUGGCUUUCUAACCCGCACCACUUAUCGUGGUGGGAGACAGUGUCA